rnacentral:rRNA from 1 species
CGGGGGGGAGCAAGCGUUGUUCGGAUUUACUGGGCGUAAAGGGCGCGUAGGCGGUCAGCACAAGUCAGUUGUGAAAUCUCCGGGCUUAACUCGGAACGGUCAACUGAUACUGUGCGACUAGAGUGCAGAAGGGGCAACUGGAAUUCUCGGUGUAGCGGUGAAAUGCGUAGAUAUCGAGAGGAACACCUGCGGCGAAGGCGGGUUGCUGGGCUGACACUGACGCUGAGGCGCGAAAGCCAGGGGAGCGAGCGGGAUUAGAUACCCCGGUAGUCCUGGCCUUAAACGAUGGAUGCUUGGUGUCUGGAGUUAUAUAGUCUCCGGGUGCCGCAGCUAACGCGUUAAGCAUCCCGCCUGGGGAGUACGGUCGCAAGACUG